UAUAGAAUGUUGUUUAGCAUAAAGAAUUUUGAUUUCUUAGGUACUAGUUAGAUCUAGUUUUUAUAA
rnacentral:tRNA from 1 species